rnacentral:rRNA from 1 species
AGUGAACGCUGGCGGUAGGCCUAACACAUGCAAGUCGAACGGCAGCACAGUAAGAGCUUGCUCUUACGGGUGGCGAGUGGCGGACGGGUGAGGAAUACAUCGGAAUCUACUUUUUCGUGGGGGAUAACGUAGGGAAACUUACGCUAAUACCGCAUACGACCUACGGGUGAAAGCAGGGGAUCUUCGGACCUUGCGCGAUUGAAUGCGCCGAUGUCGGAUUAGCUAGUUGGCGGGGUAAAGGCCCACCAAGGCGACGAUCCGUAGCUGGUCUGAGAGGAUGAUCAGCCACACUGGAACUGAGACACGGUCCAGACUCCUACGGGAGGCAGCAGUGGGGAAUAUUGGACAAUGGGCGCAAGCCUGAUCCAGCCAUACCGCGUGGGUGAAGAAGGCCUUCGGGUUGUAAAGCCCUUUUGUUGGGAAAGAAAAGCAGCAGGUUAAUACCCCGCUGUUCUGACGGUACCCAAAGAAUAAGCACCGGCUAACUUCGU